UAUAACGGUUGCUGUAAUCUUUACAGCAAUAAAAGGGAAAUCGGUGAAAAUCCGGUACAGUCACCCUUACUGUAACGUGGACAAGGAGACGAUAUACCAUUGAACAGCAAUUGUUUGAGAAGGUGUUUCCAAGGAAAAAGCGAAGUCAGGAGACCUGCCGUUAUUUUAAU
rnacentral:ncRNA from 1 species